UAUUAAAUAAUAAUUAAUAUUUGAUAAAUUAAAAUUAAAUUUUUAUUUUUAAAAAAUUAAAUUAAAAAUUUUAAAGACUAAAAAUAUAUUUAA
rnacentral:miRNA from 1 species